AGGAUUAACGCUGGCGGCGUGCCUGACACAUGCAAGUCGAACGAGGCCGCAAGGCCGAGUGGCGGACGGGUGAGUAACACGUGACCAACCAACCUCGAAGUUGGGAAUAGCUCUGCGAAAGUAGGGGUAAUACCGAAUGUGGCCCAGGGCGGGCAUCCGCCUUGGUCUAAAGAUUCAUCGCUUCGAGACGGGGUCGCGGCCUAUUAGCUUGUUGGUGGGGUAACGGCUCACCAAGGCGAUGAUGGGUAGCUGGUCUGAGAGGACGACCAGCCACACUGGGACUGAGACACGGCCCAGACUCCUACGGGAGGCAGCAGUGAGGAAUCUUCCGCAAUGGGCGAAAGCCUGACGGAGCAACGCCGCGUGUGGGAUGAAAGGCUCUAGGGUUGUAAACCACUGUCGGAGGGGACGAUCGUGACGGUACCCUCCAAGAAAGCCCGGCUAACUACGCGCCAGCAGGCCGC
rnacentral:rRNA from 1 species